UAACUGAUGUGUUUUGGAUAGGGACACAGGGUGUAUAUUAGAUCAAACUAACUGAUGUGUUUUGGAUAGGGACACAGGGUGUAAAUCAGGUCAAACUAACUGAUGUGUUUUGGAUAGGGACACAGGGUGUAAAUCAGGUCAAACUAACUGAUGUGUUUUGGAUAGGGACACAGGGUGUAAAUCAGGUCAAACUAACUGAUGUGUUUUGGAUAGGGACACAGGGUGUAAAUCAGGUCAAACUAACUGAUGUGUUUUGGAUAGGGACACAGGGUGUAAAUCAGGUCAAACUAACUGAUGUGUUUUGGAUAGGGACACAGGGUGUAAAUCAGGUCAAACUAACUGAUGUGUUUUGGAUAGGGACACAGGGUGUAAAUCAGGUCAAACUAACUGAUGUGUUUUGGAUAGGGACACAGGGUGUAAAUCAGGUCAAACUAACUGAUGUGUUUUGGAUAGGGACACAGGGUGUAAAUCAGGUCAAACUAACUGAUGUGUUUUGGAUAGGG